rnacentral:lncRNA from 10 species
GACGGCUGUCUGCUAGAAGAAAUUGCUAAGCAUUGAGGGAGAAUGUGUUGUUAAACCUCAGAAAAAUCCUGGACUUGGCAUCAUAAUUAAAAUUCCAUUUCCUAACACUCUCUAGCUAAGUGCCUUUAGAUGGACGUCUGGAAUCAGGUGGCUCACAGUCAUUCCAGUAUUUCCUGGAUAGGACCGAACAGUCCGAUUCUUGCACAUCUAAGACUAAGUAAUAUACAGUUGUAUUUUCCUGAGGAAUGCCAAAAGCAACAUGAGCUGGCCAUAAAGACAUUCUCUGACCUACUCUGUUUGAUAGUAGGUCCUCAGAUCCGCAUUCCAAAGGGAUCCUGUCCCAUACUUGGGAGCAAGAAAUGCCACACAGAGAGGCCAUGAAGAACUCAAACAGAGAGGCCUUGCUGGGUCCUUCUUUCAGUCUAUGACUCUUAGAUUACAGCCUUUUGUCCCAUCACACUUCUGCAUUCUGCACAGCCUUUGUGAAUUCUAAGUAUGCAAGUGGCCAGUUUCUUUGGAUAUCUGAGUCUUCAUUUAUGAAGACUCCAGUGUCAGGUAAACCUUGGAUUAAAUAAAUUUGUAUGUUUUCUUC